CCUUCUUUACAGAGAACUAAUUUUUUCUUUUUCACCAUAUUCAACAUUCAUUUUCUUAAUUCAAAAAGAAAAUUAACAUACUCUUCCACAUGUGUAUGAUUUAAUGAUGGGAGGAGAUCUACACGAAGAAUGUGGAGAAAGCAGUUAAUAAACUUGUCACAUUUUGAUUAAAUUUAAUUUUUGUAAGUGAGAUAAAAAAGAAAAAAAAAGAAAAAAAAGCAACAAAUGUUGAAAUUGGUCAGCCUUCAAAAUCAUCAAGAAGAAGAGCAACAAAGAAGGAGGACUCAGAAAUUUCAAUAUCUAAAAAAGAAAAAAAAUGGUUAGGUGAUUGUGAUUUAUACACAUGUUUAUUUGCUGAAUACAUUAACAAUGAAAAUUUUUAUAAGCAUUUCAUUGAUAUCGAUGCAAAGUACCAUCGUCAAUGGUAUGCCACAAUCAUAUGACAUUUUAGUAAAACAAAGAACGAUGAUGGCGUGAUCAUUGAGAGUGAAGUAACUGGAACUGUUGCUAGAAAAUUUGGUGGACCUUGCAUAGCAAAAGAACAUGCGCCAGAUAUCAACAAUAAUCCUACACCAAGACCACGAAGAUCUAAUUUGGGAUAGUUAACGGCAGUUUAGACUUUUUAAAAUUACAAAAAAAAUAUUGACUUUUGGAUGAUAUUUUAGUGUUUGAAUACAUUUUUAAGUAUUUGAUGAUAUAUAAUAUCGAUUGUUAUCUUCCGAUCAAA